UACGAAGGGGGCGAGCGUUGUUCGGAUUUACUGGGCGUAAAGGGCGCGUAGGCGGCCAUCGCAGUCGCGUGUGAAAGCCCCGGGCUCAACCUGGGAAUGGCGCGCGAUACUGGGUGGCUGGAGUUCGGGAGAGGAGCGUGGAAUUCCCAGUGUAGAGGUGAAAUUCGUAGAUAUUGGGAAGAACACCGGUGGCGAAGGCGGCACUUCUGGACCGAGACUGACGCUG
rnacentral:rRNA from 1 species